AUUGAACGCUGGCGGCAGGCCUAACACAUGCAAGUCGAACGAGUGGCGGACGGGUGAGUAAUGUCUGGGAAACUGCCUGAUGGCGGGGGAUAACUACUGGAAACGGUAGCUAAUACCGCAUACCAUCGGAUGUGCCCAGAUGGGAUUAGCUAGUAGGUGGGGUAAAGGCUCACCUAGGCGACGAUCCCUAGCUGGUCUGAUAGGAUGACCAGCCACACUGGAACUGAGACACGGUCCAGACGCCUACGGGAGGCAGCAGGGGGGAAUAUUGCACAAUGGGAGCAAGCCUGAUGCAGCCAUGCCGCGUGUGUGAAGAAGGCCUUCGGGUUGUAAAGUACUUUCAGCGAGGAGGCGUUACCCGCAGAAGAAGCACCGGCUAACUCCGUGCCAGCAGCCGCGGUAAUAC
rnacentral:rRNA from 1 species